rnacentral:rRNA from 1 species
CACGUGGGUGAUCUGCCCUGCACUUCGGGAUAAGCCUGGGAAACUGGGUCUAAUACCGGAUAUGACCUUCGGCUGCAUGGCCGAGGGUGGAAAGGUUUACUGGUGCAGGAUGGGCCCGCGGCCUAUCAGCUUGUUGGUGGGGUAAUGGCCUACCAAGGCGACGACGGGUAGCCGACCUGAGAGGGUGACCGGCCACACUGGGACUGAGACACGGCCCACACUCCUACGGGAGGCAGCAGUGGGGAAUAUUGCACAAUGGGCGAAAGCCUGAUGCAGCGACGCCGCGUGAGGGAUGACGGCCUUCCGGUUGUAAACCUCUUUC